UACGGAGGGAGCUAGCGUUGUUCGGAAUUACUGGGCGUAAAGCGCACGUAGGCGGCUUUGUAAGUUAGAGGUGAAAGCCCGGGGCUCAACCCCGGAAUAGCCUUUAAGACUGCAUCGCUUGAAUCCGGGAGAGGUGAGUGGAAUUCCGAGUGUAGAGGUGAAAUUCGUAGAUAUUCGGAAGAACACCAGUGGCGAAGGCGGCUCAGUGGACCGGUAUUGACGCUGAGGUGCGAAAGCGUGGGGAGCAAACAGG
rnacentral:rRNA from 1 species